rnacentral:rRNA from 1 species
AUUGAACGCUGGCGGCAGGCCUAACACAUGCAAGUCGAACGAGUGGCGGACGGGUGAGUAAUGUCUGGGAAACUGCCCGAUGGAGGGGGAUAACUACUGGAAACGGUAGCUAAUACCGCAUACCAUCGGAUGUGCCCAGAUGGGAUUAGCUAGUUGGUGGGGUAAAGGCUCACCUAGGCGACGAUCCCUAGCUGGUCUGAGAGGAUGACCAGCCACACUGGGACUGAGACACGGUCCAGACUCCUACGGGAGGCAGCAGUGGGGAAUAUUGCACAAUGGGCGCAAGCCUGAUCCAGCCAUGCCGCGUGUAUGAAGAAGGCCUUCGGGUUGUAAAGUACUUUUAGCGGGGAGGCGUUACCCGCAGAAGAAGCACCGGCUAACUCCGUGCCAGCAGCCGCGGUAAUUC